rnacentral:rRNA from 1 species
UAGGGAAUCUUCGGCAAUGGACGAAAGUCUGACCGAGCAACGCCGCGUGAGUGAAGAAGGUUUUCGGAUCGUAAAACUCUGUUGUUAGAGAAGAACAAGGACGUUAGUAACUGAACGUCCCCUGACGGUAUCUAACCAGAAAGCCACGGCUAACUACGUGCCAGCAGCCGCGGUAAUACGUAGGUGGCAAGCGUUGUCCGGAUGUAUUGGGCGUAAAGCGAGCGCAGGCGGUUUCUUAAGUCUGAUGUGAAAGCCCCCGGCUCAACCGGGGAGGGUCAUUGGAAACUGGGAGACUUGAGUGCAGAAGAGGAGAGUGGAAUUCCAUGUGUAGCGGUGAAAUGCGUAGAUAUAUGGAGGAACACCAGUGGCGAAGGCGGCUCUCUGGUCUGUAACUGACGCUGAGGCUCGAAAGCGUGGGGAGCAAACAGG